AACGCACAUUGCGCCCCUUGGUAUUCCGGGGGGCAUGCCUGUUCGAGCGUCAUUUCAACCCUCAAGCUCACGCUUGGUAUUGGGCCCUCGUCCUCUCGGACGUGCCCGAAACUCGUAGGCGGCAGCGCCCAGCUCCCAGCGUAGUCAAGUACACCGCUCCGAUGCCUGGACGUCUGCCCGCCGGACAACCAUUCUUUCUCAAGGUUUGACCUCGGAUCAGGUAGGGAUACCCGCUGAACUUAA
rnacentral:misc_RNA from 1 species